ACCUGAGCGACGGCUCGGGCCGCAUGUACGUGCUGCGCAAGAAGCCGCCAGGCAAGCUCCUGCCCUCGGCGCACCAGGUCGAUCGCGAGUAUCGCGUGAUCAAGGCGCUCUCGGAUCAUAGCGACGUGCCGGUACCCAAGCCCUACGCGCUGUGCCAGGACGACACCGUCAUCGGCACAGCCUUCUACGUCAUGGAGUUCCUCCCCGGGCGCAUCCUGGUCGAUCCCAAGAUG
rnacentral:misc_RNA from 1 species